GGUUGGUCCGAGUGCAGUGGUGUUUACAACUAAUUGAUCACAACCAGUUACAGAUUCCUUUGUUCCUUCUCCACUCCCAUUGCUCCAACUUGAUCAGCCUUAA
rnacentral:Y_RNA from 1 species